GGGUCGUUAGCUCAGUUGGUAGAGCAGUUGACUUUUAAUCAAUUGGUCGCAGGUUCGAGUCCUGCACGACCCACCA
rnacentral:tRNA from 9 species